rnacentral:rRNA from 1 species
GAUGAACGCUGGCGGCGUGCCUAAUACAUGCAAGUCGAGCGAACAGACGAGGAGCUUGCUCCUCUGACGUUAGCGGCGGACGGGUGAGUAACACGUGGAUAACCUACCUAUAAGACUGGGAUAACUUCGGGAAACCGGAGCUAAUACCGGAUAAUAUAUUGAACCGCAUGGUUCAAUAGUGAAAGACGGUUUUGCUGUCACCUAUAGAUGGAUCCGCACCGCAUUAGCUAGUUGGUAAGGUAACGGCUUACCAAGGCAACGAUGCGUAGCCGACCUGAGAGGGUGAUCGGCCACACUGGAACUGAGACACGGUCCAGACUCCUACGGGAGGCAGCAGUAGGGAAUCUUCCGCAAUGGGCGAAAGCCUGACGGAGCAACGCCGCGUGAGUGAUGAAGGUCUUCGGAUCGUAAAACUCUGUUAUUAGGGAAGAACAAAUGUGUAAGUAACUAUGCACGUCUUGACGGUACCUAAUCAGAAAGCCACGGCUAACUACGUG